rnacentral:rRNA from 1 species
GAUGAACGCUGGCGGCGUGCCUAAUACAUGCAAGUCGAGCGAACAGAUGAGGAGCUUGCUCCUCUGACGUUAGCGGCGGACGGGUGAGUAACACGUGGAUAACCUACCUAUAAGACUGGGAUAACUUCGGGAAACCGGAGCUAAUACCGGAUAAUAUAUUGAACCGCAUGGUUCAAUAGUGAAAGACGGUUUUGCUGUCACUUAUAGAUGGAUCCGCGCCGCAUUAGCUAGUUGGUAAGGUAACGGCUUACCAAGGCAACGAUGCGUAGCCGACCUGAGAGGGUGAUCGGCCACACUGGAACUGAGACACGGUCCAGACUCCUACGGGAGGCAGCAGUAGGGAAUCUUCCGCAAUGGGCGAAAGCCUGACGGAGCAACGCCGCGUGAGUGACGAAGGUCUUCGGAUCGUAAAACUCUGUUAUUAGGGAAGAACAAAUGUGUAAGUAACUAUGCACGUCUUGACGGUACCUAAUCAGAAAGCCACGGCUAACUACGU